rnacentral:siRNA from 1 species
UCAAUUCCAAUUCAGGACUCUC